UUUGUACCGGGGAAUCGAACUCGGGUCCUUGCGCUUGCGCAGCAGGCGGCGAAACCACUGAGCUAAAUCCCCGGCCCCCUUUUGCGUUUUUAAUGCAAUCCAAAAGCUUCGGCGAAUCGGUGAGUGUGCGAGUGCGUACGUGCGUGCCCGUGCUAUCCUGUGAGUGGAGGAGACUGCCUGAUGAUACAACAUCCCUUACCUUCUGAAGGGUGCAGCAACUAGGUGCCGCCUUGGAGUGGAAGAGCAGUCCUCACCAGACAAGGGUUCUACUGGCCUCCUGAUCUUGGACUUCCACCCUGACUUUUGAUGGAAAGGAUGGACUUGAGACAAUACUCAAACAAGUGGAGACAUACAAACACGAUGAAGGCUCAGAAACAAAACUCCAGAAAGUUCUAAGAGCAUACGCUGCAGUUCUUGAUCCGGUUCAGAACAGAUGGGGACGGUUUCUUUGAGGAAAUGGCACUGAGCUGAGAACUGAAGGGUAAGCAUGAGUUAACAAAACAAACAGAGGAGGGAAGAGCAUGAUCAAAGGCCCUGAGGCAGGAGAGAACUUGAUGUAUACAAAGAACUGAGAAAACUUAAGAUACCAGUAGUUGGAGCAAAUCCUAGAAUGUCUUAGUUGGAACAGUUUUGGAAUCCAUUCCAAUCCCACAGAUGAGGAUCUGCCACCAGGAAAGAAGUGACCAGUCCAAGGUCCAUCCUGAAUCGGGGGCAGAAACAGGACUCAAACUUACUUGCCUUGACUCCAAACCCAAUACUCUUUCCAUCAUACUUCUUGAUUUAUUUGCAUAUAAGUAGAAAAGAGACAAAUUGGAACUGGGUGUGAUGGUGCAUGCCAGUAAUCCCAGCACUCGGUAGGCCAAGGCAGGAAGAUUGCUGAGAGUUCAAGCAAACCUGUGCCACAUAGUGAGUUCAAGGCCAGUCUGAACUACAUAGCCAGACCCUGUCUUUUAAAAAUCCCAAACAAAACAAAACAAAAAAGGGUUUCAGAAAAAUGCUGUUUUAGGGGAAAGAAUGGAAAAGAGUGUUUUCAGAGAUAGCUAUAAAUAAAUGAAGUCUUCAUAGGCAAGAAGAUCAAAAGUUGGUUUGGGACAGACAAAAAAAGAAAGUGACCUGGGCAUAGUGGCGCAUGCCUGUAAUCCCAGACUGAGGCACGAGGAUUGCCACAGAUUUGAGGCCAGCUUGGGGUACAUAGUGAGACCUUGUCUGGAAAAAGAACAGAACAACAAAAAUGAAGAAAGUGAUUUGGAAGCAAUGGGGAUUUAAUUUGUGUGUUCAGAUACCGAAUUCGCCCACCCUAUUUCUAGCUAGCAUUGGGAGGAGAGGGCACUGGGCAUUGAACCCAGAGCUUUCACACUGAGCUACAUACCCAGCCCUUUUUAGUUUUAUUUUUUUAUUUUGAGACAGAGUAUCGCUAAAUUGCAGAAUUGCCCAGGUUGGACUUGAAAUUAUGAUCCUCCUACCUCAGCCUCCCAGAAUCCUGAGAUUUCAGGUGUUUGCUACCACACCCAGAUAGCAUUCUUGUAAGGUACAUGAGGGUUCUGGAGAGAGGAGAAGGAGACUGGAACUGAGGUUUUAAUUGCUUCUUUUGGAGUGAGAGGGUUCCCCUCCAAAGGAAGUCAGAGUAAGGAAGAAAGCUUGGAUGGUGUCUUGACUGGGAGUCAUCUCCAGUUCUGCCAGCAGGGGGAGCAAUUUCCUAAGAAUAGCAGCUGGCCUGGCCCCCUAGACUGGACAUAGACGUUCUGAUUGGAAACCCAUCAAGUCAGCCUAGGGUGCUGUGAAAAUGACAGGAAAGGGACAAAGGAGGGAGCUAAGAAUUAUGAUUCGCUGAAAAGUGUUUGUCCUAAGAUGCGCAGUCUUUGAUGCAGGCCUUUUAAGCCUGCUUUCCAAGCUGGGCAUGGUGGUCCAUGCCUGUAAUCCUAGCACUCUUGGAGGCUGUGGCAGGAGGAUCACAAUCUGGAGCCCAGCCUGGGCAGUUUAGCAACUUGCCCAGACCUUGUCUCAAAAAUAAAAAAUAAG